GAAAAGAAAGAGGAAAACACAGGAAGAACCUCCUCCCUCUAUUAUUUCUUUGUAACUGUUGCUCCUCGGCUUCUUUAUUUCUUCUUCCUCUCUUUUGGUCUGUUUUUUUCCUUUCCUCUUCUUCUGUGGUUUUACAGACUCAGGUGAGAGAUGGGCUGUGGAAAUUCCUCACCAGCCACCACCAAACACAACAACAGCAGCAGCAACAAUACUAGAGGUCGAGCCGAGUCUUCAUCAAAGAUAUCAGAAGAGUCUGUGACAGAGGAAGACAAAUGGAAGGACUAUGGAGGUGUUUAUGUGGGUUUUCCUGCAGACCUGAGCAACAUUCCUCAAGUACAGAUAGGAGCACUCAGAGAGCAUGAGAGAGACCUGACGUCCCUCAGGAGGCCGCUGUGGGGGGACGGAUGCUAAUUUUAAUGAAGAGCCAGGUCCAACAAAAGAAUCAUACGGCAGGAGGAGAAACUCUGCAGGAGUUCGUCGGUGUAUGUCAUCAGGAACUCACCAAGUCUCAAAUGGGAAACAGCAGCACCCAGCGGAGCCAAUCUUCUCUCCCAGCGUCCUCCGUGAGGACUUUAAUGGGAUCAGCUCCACCUGGUUAAACUGGCUGAGGAGCCAAACAAACUGGUUAAAGACAAGUUGUCUUCUAAAACAGCCCUGUAUGGAUGAAGGCGUUUAGAUGGUUACAAGAAGAGGCUUUUAUUCCAGCGGUGGACUCCACUGGAUGCACUUUGUUUGUUGCAUGUUGUGUAGCUGCUUAAUGAAGCGCCAGCAGCAGGUGUUACAGUGAAUGUCCGUCAGCUGAUUGUCACAAAACGGCAGAUAAAGAGGCUGAAGAUGUGGUAGCUCUCCUUAUUUAAGGUCUGACUAUCAUGUAAGACUACAUUUAAGACAUAUUUAAGGAUAAGUGCAGUGAUAUUGAGUCAAUAAAUCCCAUAAAAAGACCAAAACCAAUAAUUGUCUGUGUCUCCAAAUCCUCAUACAUCUUCUUCCUUUAAGCCAUGGAGCUCCAACGGUGUCCAAAAAACUAUUAAAAACACAUCAAUGUGCCAAACGGCUGCACUGAGAAAGGCUCCACAGGAUGGGUUGCCAGGUUGUCAUUGGCCACAAUCAUGAAAAAUUGGCAACCAAUUCUUUGCCUUUGGUUUUGGCACCCACUUUUUUUUACCUGUUAAAAAUAAAAAUAGU